rnacentral:rRNA from 1 species
GGGAGUUCGACCGCAAGGUUGAAACUCAAAGGAAUGACGGGGGCCCGCACAAGCGGUGGAGCAUGUGGUUUAAUUCGAAGCAACGCGAAGAACCUUACCAGGUCUUGACAUCCUUUGACCACUCUAGAGAUAGAGCUUCCCCUUCGGGGGCAAAGUGACAGGUGGUGCAUGGUUGUCGUCAGCUCGUGUCGUGAGAUGUUGGGUUAAGUCCCGCAACGAGCGCAACCCUUAUUGUUAGUUGCCAUCAUUUAGUUGGGCACUCUAGCAAGACUGCCGGUGACAAACCGGAGGAAGGUGGGGAUGACGUCAAAUCAUCAUGCCCCUUAUGACCUGGGCUACACACGUGCUACAAUGGGAAGUACAACGAGUCGCAAAGUCGCGAGGCUAAGCUAAUCUCUUAAAGCUUCUCUCAGUUCGGAUUGUAGGCUGCAACUCGCCUACAUGAAGCCGGAAUCGCUAGUAAUCGCGGAUCAGCACGCCGCGGUGAAUACGUUCCCGGGCCUUGUACACACCGCCCGUCACACCACGAGAGUUUGUAACACCCGAAGUCGGUGAGGUAACCUUUUGGAGCCAGCCGCCUAAGGUGGGAAAAAAA